rnacentral:rRNA from 1 species
UUGGCUUAGAAGCAGCCAUCCUUGAAAGAGUGCGUAAUAGCUCACUGGUCAAGUGGUUCUGCGCCGACAAUGUAGCGGGGCUCAAGCGUACCGCCGAAGCUGUGGCAACAACACGUGAUGCUGGCGCCAGGAACUGGAGUGCUGGUGUGUUGUUGGGUAGGGGAGCGUCCUGCACGAGGUGAAGCCUGGAGGGAACUUCUGGUGGAUUGUGUGGGAGUGAGAAUGCAGGCAUGAGUAACGAAUCUGCGGUGAGAAUCCGCAGCGCCGAUUGACUAAGGGUUCCAGGGCUAGGUUUAUCCGCCCUGGGUUAGUCGGGUCCUAAGGCGAGGCCGACAGGCGUAGUCGAUGGACAACCAGUUGAUAUUCUGGUACCGCGUUAUGACCGCCCAUGCUGAAGUCAUUGUGCUAACCAAUUUGCUCACGCCACCUCUAAACCUUCGGGUUUUUGGGUGUGUGUGGGUCUUGGGGCCCCGGUGAUUGUAGGCAAGCGUGUUAACAGGGGUGACGCAGACAGGUAGCUGCAGUGCGCCGAUGGUUGUGCGUAUUUAAGGUUGUGGCCCGUCCUCCAGGCAAAUCCGGGGGACACGAAGGGUGAGAACUGAUGAGGGACACACGCGUGUGUGGACUUGUGGUGAUCCUAAGCUGCCGAGAAAAGCCUCGACGUGAGGGCAUGACGCGCCCGUACCCUAAACCGACUCAGGUGGUCAGGUAGAGUAUACCGAGGCGUUCGAGUGAAUCGUGGUUAAGGAACUCGGCAAAAUUCCUCCGUAACUUCGGGAUAAGGAGGACCCCGUGACUUCCCAACACCGCGCGUGUUGGUGGGGUUGUGGGGUCGCAGAGAAUAGGGAGAAGCGACUGUUUAUCAAAAACACAGGUGCGUGCGAAGCCGUAAGGCGAUGUAUACGCACUGACGCCUGCCCGGUGCUGGAAGGUUAAGAGGAACCGUCAACACCCACUUGUGGGUGUGAAGCGGUGAAUUUAAGCCCCAGUAAACGGCGGUGGUAACUAUAACCAUCCUAAGGUAGCGAAAUUCCUUGUCGGGUAAGUUCCGACCUGCACGAAUGGCGUAACGACUUCUCCGCUGUCUCAACCGCGAACUCGGUGAAAUUGCAGUACGAGUAAAGAUGCUCGUUUCGCGCAGAAGGACGGAAAGACCCCGGGACCUUUACUAUAGCUUGGUAUUGGUGUUCGCUUGGACUUGUGUAGGAUAGGUGGGAGACUGUGAAGCUGCCGCGCCAGCGGUGGUGGAGUCGUCGUUGAAAUACCAUUCUGGUUCAAGCGGUCACCUCAACCUAGACCCGUAAUCCGGGUUGGGGACAGUGCCUGGUGGGUAGUUUAACUGGGGCGGUUGCCUCCUA